rnacentral:rRNA from 1 species
CACGUAGGGGGCAAGCGUUGUCCGGAUUUAUUGGGCGUAAAGAGCUCGUAGGCGGCUCGGUAAGUCGGGUGUGAAACCUCCAGGCUCAACCUGGAGACGCCACCUGAUACUGCUGUGGCUAGAGUCCGGUAGGGGAGUGUGGAACUCCUGGUGUAGCGGUGAAAUGCGCAGAUAUCAGGAAGAACACCAGCGGCGAAGGCGGCACUCUGGGCCGGAACUGACGCUGAGGAGCGAAAGCGUGGGUAGCAAACGGG